rnacentral:rRNA from 1 species
GGCGGACGGGUGAGUAACACAUAGGAAUCUACCCAAUGGAGGGGGAUAGCUCGAGGAAACUCGAAUUAAUACCGCAUAAUCUCCACGGAGUAAAGAGGGCUUCGGCUCUUGCCAUCGGAUGAGCCUAUGCAGGAUUAGCUUGUUGGUGAGGUAAAAGCUCACCAAGGCAACGAUCCUUAGCUGGUUUGAGAGGAUGACCAGCCACAUCGGGACUGAGACACGGCCCGGACUUCUACGGAAGGCAGCAGUAGGGAAUAUUGGACAAUGAGCGAAAGCUUGAUCCAGCCAUGCCGCGUGUGCGAUGACGGCCUUCGGGUUGUAAAGCACUUUAGGUAACGAGGAAAAGUUAGUUGUUAAUACCAACUAACCUUGACGUUAAUUACAGAAUAAGCACCGGCUAAAUCCGUGCCAGCAGCCGCGGUAAUACGGAUGGCGCAAGCGUUAAUCGGAAUUACUGGGCGUAAAGCGCGCGUAGGUGGCAUAUUAAGUUAGAUGUGAAAUCCCGAGGCUUAACCUCGGAACUGCAUCUAAAACUAAUAAGCUAGAGUACUAGAGAGGAAAGUAGAAUUCUUAGUGUAGCGGUGGAAUGCGUAGAUAUUAAGAGGAAUACCAAUGGCGAAGGCAUCUUUCUGGAUAGAUACUGACACUGAGGUGCGAAAGCGUGGGGAGCAAACAGGAUUAGAUACCCCGGUAGUC